rnacentral:rRNA from 1 species
UGGGGAAUUUUGGACAAUGGGGGCAACCCUGAUCCAGCAAUGCCGCGUGAGUGAAGAAGGCCUUCGGGUUGUAAAGCUCUUUUGUUCGGAAAGAAAUCGCUCUGGCUAAUAUCCGGAGUGGAUGACGGUACCGGAAGAAUAAGCACCGGCUAACUACGUGCCAGCAGCCGCGGUAAUACGUAGGGUGCGAGCGUUAAUCGGAAUUACUGGGCGUAAAGCGUGCGCAGGCGGUUGUGCAAGACAGAUGUGAAAUCCCCGGGCUCAACCUGGGAAUUGCAUUUGUGACUGCACGGCUAGAGUGUGUCAGAGGGGGGUAGAAUUCCACGUGUAGCAGUGAAAUGCGUAGAGAUGUGGAGGAAUACCGAUGGCGAAGGCAGCCCCCUGGGAUAACACUGACGCUCAUGCACGAAAGCGUGGGGAGCAAACA